rnacentral:rRNA from 1 species
UACGGGGGAUGCAAGCGUUAUCCGGAUUUAUUGGGUUUAAAGGGUGCGUAGGCUGUGAGGUAAGUCAGCGGUGAAAUGCCCCCGCUCAACGGGGUGAAGUGCCAUUGAUACUGCCUUGCUGGAAUGCGGAUGCCGUGGGAGGAAUGUGUGGUGUAGCGGUGAAAUGCAUAGAUAUCACACAGAACACCGAUCGCGAAGGCAUCUCACGAAUCCGCGAUUGACGCUGAUGCACGAAAGCGUGGGUAUCAAACAGG